AUAACCGUUGUCCAACCCUAGUACUUAUCAAGUGCACAAAUACCAAGAAUCACAAAAACCACAAUCUCAUAUCUAAACAAUAUUCAAUGUUGAGCAGUAAGCCACAGUCACCACAAAAGGCUCACCUUGACCGAGAGAGAUCCACAUAAGUGUUUUUUUUUUUUUCAGCAAUGCGAAAGAGCCACUAUAACCAGAAAAUGGAGAUGAUUAGAAGACAAGAGAAACAUGAAGGAGACAAGAGAGAUGUCACCAAGGAUAAAGCCAGGGGUCCAAGGCAGUGUAAUUUUCUCCGAGUUGGAUUCUCUCCGAGUUGGAUUCUCUACUCUUCUCUUUUCAUCCUCAUAUCUUUUAUUUUCUAUUUUGCCUUUUUUUUUUAUAAAAAAUUAAUAUAAGAUGUUUAUGUGACUUAACCGUGACCGUUCAAAUAGGAGGGAAGGAAAGGGAAGGAAAAAAAAAAGGGGAGAGAAUCCUACUCCAAUUUUCUCUCUAGUGGCUAUAAAUUUUUUUACAAUCCAACUUCGUGCCCCCUAUUCGUUUAGGACGCCCUUUGAUCGAAGGUUAGGUAUUACUUCAUUUGUUGUGUAUAUGCUUUUAAUUUGUUAAAUAAACGUCUUUCUCGUGUCAUCAAAGUUCCUCAAAUGAAAUGAACCCAUACUAGAAGAUAGAGUAACUCUAACAUAGAAAAAUCGUGUGGCUAGGAUUGGUAGAGGCAAUUAAGUCCCUCUUUCUGCAUAUCUGUUUUAAUCUUCCUUCCUACCCACAUGGUAUGGAACGACCACACAUGUAAAAAAUGUUAUGUUAAGGGUAUGGAAAUUUGGUUGAGAAAUUUUCUUUUGCCUUUGAUUGCUUAGCAAACUUGAUUGGGACAUGUAACAGAGGUUGGUGGAAGUGGAUUGUCUGCCCUCCUAUUUCCAUAUUUUUCACAUCCUCUCCUGUUUGUGUGGUCACGAUUAAGACACGUCAAUAUUUUAUAUUGAUUUUUUUUAUAAAAAUAAUAAAACAAAAAGUAAUAGGAAUAUAAAAUGUUGAUGUGGUUUAACCAUGACUACAUAAAAUAGGAGAGGAUGAGAAGAGUAUGGAAAUGGGAGGGCAAACAAUCCACCCCAUAUUAGUGACCAAACGUCGAUUUGUUGGUUUUGUGAUUAUCCAUAAAUUAAUGACAUUUUUCAGUCAAAUCACACUAAUUUUAUCAUUUUUAAUGUAUAUUUUAGAUUUAUUAGGUUUUGUAAUUUGCAACCAGACAAGGAUUGUCUGCCCUCCCACUUCUGGUGCCCCCCGUACCCUCCUGUUUUGUGUGAUUACGGUUAAGCUACGUCAACAUUUUAUAUUAUUUUUUAUAGAGAUAAUAAGACAAAAAUGAAUAGUAAUAUAAAACGUUGACGUAGUUUAACGGUGAUCACACAAACAGGAGGGCACGGGAGGGUAGACAAUCAUUGUCCCUUGCAACCCCUUCCUAACAUCCACUUGACCACGACUUGCAAGAAUUGGCAGGGAGACAUCCACUAAAUUCAAACUUAAAACCUCUAAAUUUCAAAUAAAACAUAAUACAACCAGACUAUAGAACUGAAUGACGAUGGACAUUCAAUACUUUGUUUGGUCAAUUAUCCCGUUCCCAUCCCACAUUGCAUUGUAUCAAUUAUUUGGGGGAAGCUGACUGAAAAUUCAAUGUUGUACCUGUCCCUUCCCUAACAAUGGCAUUUAUUAGGAUAGAGUAAAGGCUAUCUUUGUUCACACUGCGUCGUUUUUGUGCAUGUGUCAUGCUAACUUGUUGGUAUCGAUCGGUCACACUAGCGCUUUGAUAUGUAUAACAGUAUAAGUUGUUGAUAUGUAUAAGUUGUUGGUAUGUAUAAGUUGUUGGUAUGUAUAAGGUCUUUCAAUACUAACUUGUUGGUAUCGUUCUUUCACACAUGCUAAACUCAUGCUAACAUGCUAACCAUAUGAUUCACUCACCCAUAUUGGGAAGGGACAUGUUCGUACUAUUCUGUCUUUUUGUGUAUUUUUUGGAUGGUUGUAGAAGGAAAUGAGAGCUAUUUUGUAAACUAAAUUUUUUUUAAUACUAUGCAUGCAGUAAUUGAGUUAGAACUCAUAGAUCGAUUUACUUUAAAUUUUAAAGUGAAUUGAAAUCUUAAGAGAUGUCAGUGUGUAAUGUUUUUUUUUUUUUUUUUUUUUGUAAAAUUAUAAAUUUCAGGAGUUAGUGAAAUUAACACAAUAUGAUAUGGAUACUAAGUUGAGAGUAUAUUCGUCAGAAACAGCUAGAAGAGAUUACAUUUUUGGAACAAGUUUAGUUUUGGUUGGCUAGUUUGUAAAAGAACUACCAAAGCCAAUCUCUCGUGGAUUAAAAAAAUAGGGUUUUUAUCACAAAUAAUUUUUGAAAUUAAAAAUCAAUCAAUGUAGUCCCUGAAAAUAGAUGUUGCAAAUCAAUGUGGUCAUUCCCUCAUAAUUUUGUUAAAAAUUUCAUUAAGUGCUGAUAUGGCACAUAAAUGGGCCCUAUAAGAUUUACGGGUUUUUAUCACAAAUGAUUCCUGAAAUUGACCUACACUAUCAAAAUGGUCCUCGAAAUUGACCCACACCAUCAAUGUGGUCCUUGAAAUUAAAAUUAAUUAAUGUAGUCCUUAAAAAUAGGUGUCGCAAAUCAAUAUGUUCAUUUUGCCAUUAUUUUGUAAAAAAAAAUUGUUAUGUGCUGAUGUGAGUUUAAUAAUUAAUUAAAAAGUUUGUCUACAUACCUUUUUGCACAAUGAAUUUUUUUUCUUCUUAGUAGGGCUUACUCCAAAGAGAGAUCUCUUCCAUAAGUUCUCAAAGGCACAAGGCUUAACCAAUUCCUAAGAGGGGGUGUGGAAAUAUUUUUCAACCAACAAUAGACGCACCUCGGUUAUAACCUCAUUAUCUCAAGGCAGACCUCACCGUUCUUUGCAUCACCAGACCACCAGGGAAGCGCCGAAUAAACUUUCUAAGAUUAAAGUUGUGAAGAUGUUGAUCGCCUAAAUGUUAACGGUGAUGUCCCAUAAGUCAUUGUCAAUGGGCCAAACCAUCACCAAAGGUGAUCUCGAUCCAAGUUCAAUUCGAUGAAGGAUGUCGAAGUGUGUAAAGAUGAGUGUAUUGAUUUUUUUUUUCAGUGAAUAGAGAGCGAAGGAGGUAGAGAAAUGUGGACAGGGAUUGGAGGUGAUUGCAAGAUUGGAUUUUUGGGUUGAUAAAUUUUUUUAUUAACUAUUAAAUUAUUAAGCCUAUUUGUAAUUUUUUUUAAAAUUUAAUUAGACUUGUGUGACCCAUUUAUGUGUCACAUUAGCACAUAACAAAAUUUUGAUAAAAUUGUGACGGGAUGACUACAUUGAUUUGAGACACUUACUUGCAAGAUUACAUUGGUCAAUUUUUAAUUUUAGGGACCAUUUUGAUGUUGUGGGUCAAUUUCAGGGACUAUUUUGAUGUCGUGGGUCAAUUUAAAUGACCAUUUGUGAGAAAAAAUGGCUUAUAUAUAAAACUUAUUUAUGUGCCACAUCAGUACUUAACGAAAUUUUUAACAAAAUUUUAAUGGAAGGACCACAUGGAUUUACAACAUCUAUUUCAGGGACUACAUUGAUUGAUUUUCAUUUUUAGGGACCAUCUUGAUGGUGAGGGUCAAUUUCAAGUACUAUUUGUGAUAAAAACCCAAAAAAAUAAUCACAACACACGUGUAUUGACCUAACAUGAAGAGAAUACAUAUAUAGUGUUAAAUUUUUUAUUGUGACCGGAACAUGGGUAGUAUACCACGUGUUUUUAUAAAAGUUGUGGGAAAUUUUAUUUUUUUAGUUAUUAAUUUUUUAACACACAUAUCUCACAAUUUGUAUAGUGACACAUGGUGUACCACUACAUGUGCCGGUCAUAUUAAAAAAAUCUCUCAUAUAUAGCACAGAUACAUCGUCACGUGGCGUUUAGUGCCCAUACAGUAAAAUAUUUAAACAAAAGCUUACGUAAGUCUUUAUUUUAGGGGUGUGAUAUCCACAUACACUUUUUUACUUCUCACACACCCUUCUAAGUUUCGGCCAUUGGAUUGGGUAAAUUGAAGAAGAUCAAAUGGUAAAAAUUA
rnacentral:lncRNA from 1 species